GAUGAACGCUGGCGGCGUGCCUAAUACAUGCAAGUCGAGCGAACAGAUGAGGAGCUUGCUCCACUGACGUUAGCGGCGGACGGGUGAGUAACACGUGGAUAACCUACCUAUAAGACUGGGAUAACUUCGGGAAACCGGAGCUAAUACCGGAUAAUAUAUUGAACCGCAUGGUUCAAUAGUGAAAGACGGUUUUGCUGUCACUUAUAGAUGGAUCCGCGCCGCAUUAGCUAGUUGGUAAGGUAACGGCUUACCAAGGCAACGAUGCGUAGCCGACCUGAGAGGGUGAUCGGCCACACUGGAACUGAGACACGGUCCAGACUCCUACGGGAGGCAGCAGUAGGGAAUCUUCCGCAAUGGGCGAAAGCCUGACGGAGCAACGCCGCGUGAGUGAUGAAGGUCUUCGGAUCGUAAAACUCUGUUAUUAGGGAAGAACAAAUGUGUAAGUAACUAUGCACGUCUUGACGGUACCUAAUCAGAAAGCCACGGCUAACUACGUG
rnacentral:rRNA from 1 species